AAUAGAAUAUCAGGGUGAAGUGUUUACAUUAUGUAAGGACUUUGCUAUAUACUGCCAAAAUGCUUUCGAAAAGGAGGUUUUAUCUCCCUAGUACAGUACUCAUUCUAGCUCUCCUUCACCUGUCCUGAUUAAUAUGAGCCACUGCGCCUGGCCCUGGAGUUGUUACUUUGAUGGAAGCAGCUUCCAGAACUGAUUAGACCACAAUUUACUAGUCUCAAGAUCAUUCUGUGCUGAAUGUUCCUGUACAUUGGUGUGGCUCUCUUUCUUAGCUCUUGCCCC
rnacentral:lncRNA from 1 species